AGGGCACCACCAGAAGUGGAGCUUGCGGCUUAAUUUGACUCAACACGGGGAAACUCACCCAGGCAGGACAUUGUGAGGAUUGACAGAUUGAUAGCUCUUUCAUGAUUCAAUGGAUGGUGGUGCAUGGCCGUUCUUAGUUCGUGGAGCGAUUUGUCUGGUUUAUUCCGAUAACGAGCGAGACUCUGGCCUACUAACUAGUCCGAGCAUUGGCACUGUGCUCGCCGACUUCUUAGAGGGAUUCGUGGUGUUCAGCCACAAGAAAUUGAGCAAUAACAGGUCUGUGAUGCCCUUAGAUGUCCGGGGCUGCACGCGCGCUACACUGGCAUAAUCAGCGUGCUUGUCCUUCCCCGAAAGGGGUUGGUAAACCCUUGAAAAUGUGCCGUGAUUGGGAUCGGAAAUUGCAAUUAUUUUCCGUGAACGAGGAAUUCCAAGUAAGUGCGAGUCAUCAACUCGCGUUGAUUACGUCCCUGCCCUUUGUACACACCGCCCGUCGCUGCCCGGGACUGAGCCAUUUCGAGA
rnacentral:rRNA from 1 species